AAGGAGUCUAACAUAUCUGCGAGUAUUUGGGUGUCAAACUCGCGUGCGCAAUGAAAGUGAACGUAGCAGACACGCGCAAGCUGCAGCUUCGACCGAUCUUGAUCUUUAGUGAUGGAUUUGAGUAAGAGCAUAUAUGUUAGGACCCGAAAGAUGGUGAACUAUGCCUGGAUAGGGCGAAGCCAGAGGAAACUCUGGUGGAGGCUCGUAGCGAUUCUGACGUGCAAAUCGAUCGUCAAAUGUGGGUAUAGGGGCGAAAGACUAGUCGAACCAUCUAGUAGCUGGUUCCUGC
rnacentral:misc_RNA from 1 species